UACGGGGGGGGCAAGCGUUGUUCGGAAUUACUGGGCGUAAAGGGUUCGUAGGUGGCUUGCUAAGUCGGACGUGAAAUCCCCAGGCUUAACCUGGGAACUGCAUCCGAUACUGGAUGGCUUGAAUCCGGGAGAGGGAUGCAGAAUUCCAGGUGUAGCGGUGAAAUGCGUAGAUAUCUGGAGGAAUACCGGUGGCGAAGGCGGCAUCCUGGACCGGCAUUGACGCUGAUGAGCGAAAAGCUAGGGGAGCAAACGGG
rnacentral:rRNA from 1 species